rnacentral:rRNA from 1 species
GUUAAAUGGCUGCGGKAAUUUGACCGUACAAAGGUAGCAUAAUCAUUAGUUUUUUAAUUGAAAGCUGGUAUGAAAGGUCGGACGAGAGAACGACUGUCUCAAUUUAAUUUAUAUUAGAAUUUUAUUUUUAAGUAAAAAAGCUUAGAUAAUUUUAAAAGACGAGAAGACCCUAUAGAAUUUUAUAUAUUUUGAAGUGAAGGUUUUUAAGUUAAUUUUUAUUUUUAUUGAAAAAAUGUAUUUUGUUGGGGCGAUAGAAAAAUUUAAUGAACUUUUUUUUUUUUAUGUCAUUAAUUUAUGAUUAAAUGAUCCAUAUUUUAUGAUUACAAGAUUAAAUUMCUUAGGGAUAACAGCGUAAUUUUCUCAAGAGUUCA